rnacentral:rRNA from 1 species
GACGAACGCUGGCGGCGUGCUUAACACAUGCAAGUCGAACGGAAAGGCCCUGCUUUUGUGGGGUGCUCGAGUGGCGAACGGGUGAGUAACACGUGAGUAACCUGCCCUUGACUUUGGGAUAACUUCAUGAAACUUGGGCUAAUACCGGAUAGGAGCUCCUGCUGCAUGGUGGGGGUUGGAAAGUUUCGGCGGUUGGGGAUGGACUCGCGGCUUAUCAGCUUGUUGGUGGGGUAGUGGCUUACCAAGGCUUUGACGGGUAGCCGGCCUGAGAGGCUGACCGGCUACACUGGGACUGAGAUGCGGCACAGACUACUACGGGAGGCAGCAGUGGGGAAUAUUGCACAAUGGGCGGAAGCAUGAUGCAGCAACGCAGCGUGCGGGAUGACGGGCUUCGGGUAGUAAAGCGCUUUCGCCUGUGACGAAGCGUGAGUGACGGUAAUGGGUAAAGAAGCACCGGCUAACUACGUG